UACGAAGGGGGCUAGCGUUGCUCGGAAUCACUGGGCGUAAAGCGCACGUAGGCGGAUCUUUAAGUCAGGGGUGAAAUCCUGGAGCUCAACUCCAGAACUGCCUUUGAUACUGAGGGUCUCGAGUCCGGGAGAGGUGAGUGGAACUGCGAGUGUAGAGGUGAAAUUCGUAGAUAUUCGCAAGAACACCAGUGGCGAAGGCGGCUCACUGGCCCGGUACUGACGCUGAGGCGCGAAAGCGUGGG
rnacentral:rRNA from 1 species